UGCAGUCGAGCGGAUGAGUGGAGCUUGCUCCAUGAUUCAGCGGCGGACGGGUGAGUAAUGCCUAGGAAUCUGCCUGGUAGUGGGGGAUAACGUUUCGAAAGGAACGCUAAUACCGCAUACGUCCUACGGGAGAAAGUGGGGGAUCUUCGGACCUCACGCUAUCAGAUGAGCCUAGGUCGGAUUAGCUAGUUGGUGGGGUAAUGGCCCACCAAGGCGACGAUCCGUAACUGGUCUGAGAGGAUGAUCAGUCACACUGGAACUGAGACACGGUCCAGACUCCUACGGGAGGCAGCAGUGGGGAAUAUUGGACAAUGGGCGAAAGCCUGAUCCAGCCAUGCCGCGUGUGUGAAGAAGGUCUUCGGAUUGUAAAGCACUUUAAGUUGGGAGGAAGGGCAGUAAGUUAAUACCUUGCUGUUUUGACGUUACCAACAGAAUAAGCACCGGCUAACUUCGUGCCAGCAGCCGCGGUAAUACGAAGGGUGCAAGCGUUAAUCGGAAUUACUGGGCGUAAAGCGCGCGUAGGUGGUUCAGCAAGUUGGAUGUGAAAGCCCCGGGCUCAACCUGGGAAUUGCAUCCAAAACUACUGAGCUAGAGUACGGUAGAGGGUGGUGGAAUUUCCUGUGUAGCGGUGAAAUGCGUAGAUAUAGGAAGGAACACCAGUGGCGAAGGCGACCACCUGGACUGAUACUGACACUGAGGUGCGAAAGCGUGGGGAGCAAACAGGAUUAGAUACCCUGGUAGUCCACGCCGUAAACGAUGUCGACUAGCCGUUGGGAUCCUUGAGAUCUUAGUGGCGCAGCUAACGCGAUAAGUCGACCGCCUGGGGAGUACGGCCGCAAGGUUAAAACUCAAAUGAAUUGACGGGGGCCCGCACAAGCGGUGGAGCAUGUGGUUUAA
rnacentral:rRNA from 2 species